UCUUCCACUUCACAGCCGCUCAUUACUACCAGAACCCUCUUCCUUCCUUCCUUGUGGAAUCAAUCGUCUUUCACAACCCAAAGCAUUUCCAAAUCCUCUUUUAAUGGGAUUCGUUGGCCUUUGGGCGGCGAUGCCUCUAGCCUCCUUGAGUGUUUUCUCUCUCGAAAGUAGCUACAUCCUUCUUAGAUGCUGCUUGUAAACUGUAAAGGCCAUGCCUUUUAGGAAAAUGAAAGUUUAAUCGUUCAAAGAACUGGAAGAACGAUCCGUCAACAUGGUCCCUUCAUUAAGAAGAAGUAAAAAAAAGCAUGUAAAUCAGGCAAUAGCAUAGCGUUGGUGCUUAUAAGUAGGUAACAGUAUUUAUACCAUCCUUAAAACCCUACUUCCACUUCAGUUUCACUUCCACUCUUCCAGUUAAAACCCAACACGGUGGCUCUCUCCACCAAAUCAAAUGCCCCUCUUUUCUCACCGCCACCCCUCAUCCUCCGCCAUCCCAACCACCAUCAAUCCCAGAACUUCAAAACCAUCAAAACCCAAUUUUAUACCUCCUUCAACCCGCUACCCUCUACCUCUUAUAGUCUUUUCACUCAUCUCCCUUCUCAUUGGACUUUCUGGCACGAUCUUCGCUAUCUCAGCGAUCCGCAGACCCAAACCUGUUCCUGUUUUUCGCUGUGGCAGAUCCGAGGACACUUUUCGAGCAUUUUAUUCGGGUUCGGGUAGAACCCGAGGUGAUGAUAACGGGGCAUUGAUUGACAGGCCUAAGCUUCUUGGCUUUGUCGGGAUUCAAACCGGGUUUGAAUCGGGUGAUCGCCGGGCUGCACUUAGAAGUACUUGGUUUCCUUCUGACCCAGAUGGACUUUUGAGGUUGGAGCAAGCUACUGGUUUAGCAUUUAGGUACGUAAUAGGGCGCUCAAAGGAUGCAAAGAAAAUGGCCCAGCUUGAGAAAGAGGUGGAUAAGUACAGAGAUUUCAUGCUCAUAGAUGUCGAGGAAGAAUAUCUAAAGCUUCCAUACAAAACGUUGGCCUUUUUCAAGGCAGCCUUUAAGCUUUUUGAAGCAGAUUAUUAUGUCAAAGCUGAUGAUGAUAUCUAUUUGCGCCCAGAUCGCCUUGCAACUCUUCUCGCUAAGGAAAGAACCCAUUCACUAACUUAUAUUGGAUGCAUGAAGAAAGGACCAGUGAUCACUGAUCCUAAAAUGAAAUGGUUUGAGAAAUCAGGACAUCUGAUUGGAAAUGAGUACUUCCUGCAUGCUUAUGGACCUAUAUAUGUUCUUUCUGCAGAGGUUGUGGCUUCAUUAGCAUCUGCUAGAAAUAACAGCUUUCAGUUUGAGAAUGUUCAGCAAUGAGGAUGUCACCAUUGGAUCAUGGAUGCUUGCAAUGAAUGUUUAUCAUGAAGAUAACCGAGCCAUAUGUGAUCCCCGAUGCACUCCAACAUCUAUAGCAGUUUGGGAUAUUCCUAAAUGUUCUGGUUUAUGCAAUCCGGCUAGUCGGAUGAAGGAGCUGCACAAGAUUGAUAUGUGCUCCAAAAGUCCAACACUGCCCCCUGAUGAUAGAUAGGGUCCAAUCAGCCAGAACUUAUGAUUGCAUAACACUGACGUAGCAAUAGAGGCUGUUUUUUAAGCAGUGUGCUGGGUUUCUGCAGGACAAGUAUCUUUCCCCAAAGAGCAAUAGGGGCUUUUGUAUUCUGCCAUUCUAUUCUCCAUGUAAAGACUGUAUAGCCAUGCAAUGCAUUAUCUUCAAGUUGCUAGAUAAGUUAAUAGCACUAUUAAAGGAAUGCUUGAUUCUUAAAACACCGAACAUCACGAGAAUAAGCAAGUGUCGUUAGACAUGUAGAAUACCAGCACCAUGUGAUUAUGGUCACCUGGGUCAGGAGACUGAUUUUGAGUUUGUUCAAGGAUUCAAGCGAGGAUAUCUGCCUGUACUAGUGAUCUGAUCACUGUUUUUGGGCUUGCCCAUAUGACUAGGAGUAUGGUGUGUAAUUUGUAUGUACUCGUAAUUGUUAUAUCUCCACGGAAAUGAAAUCAUACUGUUCUCUUUAA